UCCUCAAUUGUAUAGUAUAUAUAUAAAAAAAAAUCUACUAGGUACUUUAUGGUUCCAUCUGGAGAAAUUAAAAGCCCAGAGCUGUAAUGUUUAUUCUUACAUAGUUUACAAAAAACGGGGGAAAUGUGUGAGACACAUGUCUCCAAAUAUAACCAAAGUGCUUUCCCUUCUGGUUAAAAAGUUGCAUGCGAAUGUUUUCAUUUUAGCACUCCCUGCCACCUGUACUUCUCAGGGAAACUUUUCUUGGCGUUAGCGGUGAAGCACCAAUAGUACUUAUUAAUGAAUUAAUUAUUAUUAUGGCUGCUGAAUUGACUUAAAGUGCUUUGAAGGCCAAACUAAUCCAUGUUAAUCAGUUACAAUUAAUUGUGUUUCAGCUGUUGUUUUAAACACAGUUUCAAAGAGAGAGGCGAGGAGGUUGUGUAUGGGGUGUAGGGCAGGGGUGUGAUCCGGAGACCCUUCCCAGCCCAUGGCACCGAGCCCAUCGCUCAGAAGUUUCCUUUUGGCUUGCGAAACAGGCGCAACGUUGUCCCGCCUCGCGUGACAUAAAGGAGAUUGGGACAAUAGCUGGAGUGGAUUAUGCAUUCCCGUAGGCGAUACUUCCCUAUAUGAGCUUCAGGAUGCAGUUGGAAGCUCGGGAACAAAGCGGGCAUCGAAUGUCAAGGAAACUCAAAACGGAAGGAGGGAUGCUACUUGAAAGUGUGACUCAAAAAAAGGUUUCGCUUUACAGCCAUCAGUAGCACCAGGAGACAGCUCCAUUAAAAAAGUAGUUUUCCACUGCUCUUGAAAAGCCGUUAUUUUUUACAUCGCUUUUAGGAAGAUAGAUUAACAAAACAUCACAUUUCAAGCCACUCUGAUCUGUAAUUAAAUGGAGGAGCCCGUUUGUAUUCUCCUAUGGCUUUUACAGAAGUUGCAGUGAUCCAAAGUCAGGUUGCUGUGUCAGAGUGGCAUUUUUAUUAAUGAGAAUACAAAAAGCUUGCAUAUUCUUAGCCCGGCUUGAAUUUAGUUGCUAAGCAACCGCUGUAUGGUAAUUCAUCCGCGAAAUUUAAAUCUUGGAGAAAGGAUCCUGCGUUUUGCUGAAUGGUCGCCACGAGGAAAACAACUUGUGGGACCGGCGGCAGCUGCCGCCGCGCCAC
rnacentral:lncRNA from 1 species